rnacentral:rRNA from 1 species
CCGCCGGCGACCGGCGCACGGGUGAGUAACGCGUAUGCAACCGCCCGUUUCAGCGGGAUAACCCGGAGAAAUCCGGCCUAAUACCGCAUGUGGCCGAGGGGAGGCAUCUUCUUUCGGCCAAAGGAGGCGACUCCGGAGACGGAUGGGCAUGCGUGACAUUAGCUAGUUGGCGGGGUAACGGCCCACCAAGGCGACGAUGUCUAGGGGUUCUGAGAGGAAGGUCCCCCACACUGGUACUGAGACACGGACCAGACUCCUACGGGAGGCAGCAG